rnacentral:lncRNA from 1 species
CUUCGGAGUUUUAGAGCUUCAGAGCUUCAAGAAUUUUGCCUAAUGAUUUUGGUUCCUCCCCAAAAUGAAUGAAAUUGGCUUGUAUUUAUAUAAUUUUCCAAGGCCUAAUUUUGAAUAUAAUAUCCCAGAUGAAAUAAGUCGUUUCUGCCAGGUGUUGACACGUAUCCUGUUUGAUGACUUUUCCAACUCAUUUCAAUUUUUCGUCGAGUCACACGCUACGUGUAAAAUUUAUGUAAUACAUGAGCAUUGAAAUUUUGAUUUAUCGAUCAACAUUUAUUUACCGAAAUUUCGAUGUCUACAGUUUUAUUGGUACUUUACUAGCUCUGGAACUAUAUUUGUGAAAGGGUCGGAUUCGAUCGGGUCAUCCUUGAUCUAAAUCUGAAUUCAUUUAUAAUCAGUUUAACAGAUUCAGUACCUAUUCAGAUCAUUGAAUCCAGCUUGUCGAAAUACCAUUAGAAAUCUCAUUUUUUAUUAUAUUUUUCAAUUUUAAAUUAAAAGUUUCACAUGUUAAGUAAUAAGAAAAUAAACUUAAAUUACCAUUAAACAAAAGUAUAAAUAAUAUUUUUUUAUUAAAUCGGAUUAGAUUAUUAUCUGAACGAAUUAGCCUCAAUCCAUAUUCGGAUCUAUUUACAAUUGAUUAUCGAAUUCGGAUCCUUUUUGGAAAAUUGGAUUAGAAGUUACGAUCCAUAUCCUAUUAAUUUGGAUUAGAUCCAGGUCAAAAUAUGAUCCAUUAACAAGUCUUUUUCCAUGUAAAAUCAUUAUACAUUGUAUCGUAGAUGAUUAGUACAAGGAGUAUCAGAUUCCUCGUGCAGUCGUACUACAUGCAAAUUGAUCACAAGUCAGCAAGGUCAUGCUCAUUCAAGGAGAGGUUUUUGUGUGAGGCACCAAAUGUGGUGGGUCAUGAGUAUGGUAUGAGAGGGAGUGGGACACAAAAUAGGAUCAAGUGAACCUAGCAAAAUCAGUGAGGGUAGGGUAGAGGGUGGUUUUUGUCUCUGGACACGUAGGGAUACAUGAUCCAGUCAGAAUACCGAAGAAUUUAUCCCAUUCAUAUCAAAUUCCUCAACAACCUCAAUAAGAGGGAUGUUAGCGACGUGCGGGUUCGUGCGGGGUAAAUGGUGUUGCUUGUUAGGGUUUUUGCUUUGUGCUUUUUUGUUUUGAGCUCCAAACCUUGUGUUAGGUUGUUUGUUUGUGCUACUUUGGAGAUCCAUAGUUUUGUUCUGUGUUUCAAUUUUCACCUGUAAUUAGGGCUCUGUUUAUGUACACUUUUUGUGCUAGCAAUAAAUUUCAGAGUAAUCCCCAAUUUAACUAUCCUUAAGUUUUGUCAAAAUUGCACUUUAUUUACAUUUUCUUUUUUUCGUCUCACUUUCAUACCUAGAGUUUAAUUUUCUUGCCACUUUCAUACUUCUGUUAGGUCAUCUCUAAUGGAUCAGACCAUGUUUUGGCCCGAAAUGAGACAAAAUCCAACUCCAAUGGAGGGAUGGGCCAAAAAAAAGGGACCCACUAGGCCAUUUCUCAGCCUUUUGGCCAUUAGGCUAGGCAA